rnacentral:rRNA from 1 species
UACGGAGGGUGCGAGCGUUAAUCGGAAUUACUGGGCGUAAAGCGCACGCAGGCGGUUUGUUAAGCUAGAUGUGAAAGCCCCGGGCUCAACCUGGGAUGGUCAUUUAGAACUGGCAGACUAGAGUCUUGGAGAGGGGAGUGGAAUUCCAGGUGUAGCGGUGAAAUGCGUAGAUAUCUGGAGGAACAACAGUGGCGAAGGCGANUCCCUGGCCAAAACUGACGCUCAUGUGCGAAAGUGUGGGNAGCGAACAGG